rnacentral:miRNA from 1 species
GGCUUUGAGACAGUCUUUCUCAGU